rnacentral:rRNA from 1 species
GAUGAACGCUGGCGGCGUGCCUAAUACAUGCAAGUCGAACGAUCCGCCUUUGGCGGAUAGUGGCGAACGGGUGAGUAACACGUUGGUACCUACCCCGAAGUGGGGAAUAACUGUCCGAAAGGGUGGCUAAUACCGCAUAAUACCGCAAGGUUAAAGCAGUAAUGCGCUUCGGGAGGGGCCGGCGUCCCAUUAGCUAGUUGGUAGGGUAAUGGCCUACCAAGGCGACGAUGGGUAGCUGGAUCGAGAGGUUGACCAGCCACACUGGGACUGAGAUACGGCCCAGACUCCUACGGGAGGCAGCAGUAAGGAAUCUUCCACAAUGGACGAAAGUCUGAUGGUGCAACGCCGCGUGCAGGAUGACGGCCUUCGGGUUGUAAACUGCUUUUAUAUGGGAAGAUUAUGACGGUACCAUAUGAAUAAGGACCGGCUAACUACGUGCCAGCCGCCGCGGUAA